rnacentral:rRNA from 1 species
GACGAACGCUGGCGGCGUGCUUAACACAUGCAAGUCGAACGGAAAGGCCCUGCUUUUGUGGGGUGCUCGAGUGGCGAACGGGUGAGUAACACGUGAGUAACCUGCCCUUGACUUUGGGAUAACUUCAGGAAACUGGGGCUAAUACCGGAUAGGAGCUCCUGCUGCAUGGUGGGGGUUGGAAAGUUUCGGCGGUUGGGGAUGGACUCGCGGCUUAUCAGCUUGUUGGUGGGGUAGUGGCUUACCAAGGCUUUGACGGGUAGCCGGCCUGAGAGGGUGACCGGCCACAAUGGGACUGAGAGACGGCGCAGACUGCUACGGGAGGCAGCGGUGGGGAAUAUUGCACAAUGGGCGGAAGCCUGAUGCAGCAACGCCGCGUGCGGGAUGACGGCCUUCGGGUUGUAAACCGCUUUCGCCUGUGACGAAGCGUGAGUGACGGUAAUGGGUAAAGAAGCACCGGCUAACUACGUG